rnacentral:rRNA from 1 species
UACGUAGGUGGCAAGCGUUAUCCGGAAUUACUGGGUGUAAAGAGCGCGCAGGCGGCCCUGCAAGUCGGAUGUGAAAGAUCAAGGCUCAACCUUGACAGGCCAUUCGAAACUGUGGGACUUGAGUGUCAGAGGGGAAAGUGGAAUUCCUAGUGGAGCGGUAAAAUGCGCAGAUAUUAGGAGGAACACCGGUGGCGAAGGCGACUUUCUGGCUGACAACUGACGCUGAGGCGCGAAAGACGUGGGGAGGCAGACAGGAUUAGAUA